rnacentral:tRNA from 1 species
GCUGGCAUAGCUCAGCAGGUAGAGCAACUGAUUUGUAAUCAGUAGGUCCCGGGUUCGAUUCCUGGUGCCAGCACCA